AAAUUGAAGAGUUUGAUCAUGGCUCAGAUUGAACGCUGGCGGCAGGCCUAACACAUGCAAGUCGAACGGUAGCACAGAGAGCUUGCUCUCGGGUGACGAGUGGCGGACGGGUGAGUAAUGUCUGGGAAACUGCCCGAUGGAGGGGGAUAACUACUGGAAACGGUAGCUAAUACCGCAUAACGUCGCAAGACCAAAGAGGGGGACCUUCGGGCCUCUUGCCAUCGGAUGUGCCCAGAUG
rnacentral:rRNA from 1 species